rnacentral:rRNA from 1 species
AUGCCUAUCCAUUCUGUCCACCCGUCGGUCGAUCCGCCGGAAUCGGUUCAUAUUAUUUUUCUCGAAGAUCAUCGUCAAUGGAGUCCCGGGCCAUUAGUCCCAGCGAGACGGCGCUGCCGUACGCGCAUCCGCCGUUGGCCCCGUCCGACCCCAUGGAGGAGCGCCGGAGCGGGGGCGAGGUGGUGCGUGUGCGUGGUGGUGCAGGUGGUGGGCGGCGAUGUGGCGGCGGACAUGCCGCGGCUGGCGGAGACGGCGCGGAGUCUGGGCAGGGAAGCCGGCAUGUCGGAGAAGACCUCCGGGGCGGCGCGCGGAUGA